GGCUGCAUAGCUUAGUGGUAGAGCGCGGCUCUCAUAAGGCCGAGGUCCCGAGUUCAAUCCUCGGUGCAGCCA
rnacentral:tRNA from 1 species